rnacentral:rRNA from 1 species
AGAGUUUGAUCCUGGCUCAGAACGAACGCUGGCGGCGUGGAUUAGGCAUGCAAGUCGAACGAUCCCUUUUUUCGGAGGGGGAUAGUGGCAAACGGGUGAGUAACGCGUGGGUAAUUUACCUUUAGGUUCGGAACAACCCGCCGAAAGGCGGGCUAAUACCGGAUGAGACUACGACUUCCAAGAAGCAGUAGUUAAAGAUGGGGAUCCUGAAAAUGGACCUGGCGCCUUUAGAUGAGCCCGCGUCCUAUCAGCUUGUUGGUGGGGUAAAAGCCUACCAAGGCUAAGACGGGUAGCUGGUCUGAGAGGAUGAUCAGUCACACUGGGACUGAGACACUGCCCAGACUCCUACGGGAGGCUGCAGUCGAGAAUCUUUUGCAAUGCCCGAAAGGGUGACAAUGCGACGCCGCGUGAGCGAUGAAGGCCCUCGGGUUGUAAAGCUCUGUCAGCUGGGACGAAUGUAAAAGUGUUAAUAACAUUUUUANGGGNCG